CGGCAAACUAUGCUACUUUUUAGACUUGCGGAUGGAAAAUUACUUGCGUUUACUGGUUUUGUUUUUUUUUGGGGGUUAUUUUGGGGCUAUUUAGCAAAAGUGUGCUCGUGGAGGAAGCGCGCGCGCUUUACGCUCGGAAUGCCAGUGAAACCGCACAGUUAAGUUUGUCCAUGCCUGUGUCCUGUGCAGAAGCGUAUGGACUCAGAGGAGCUGUGAGAAGGCUGUGGACUGGAUCACACAAGUGGCUGUACCUCAGGAAGGCCAAGCAGGACCUGGUUCUGUGCCUUGUGCGCCUUUAUCAGGUUCUGCAGGGUCCCAUCCUCCUGGUCCUGCAGCUUGUGGAUGUGGGAGGAGGCAUGCAAGGUUAGGAAUUCCUAGAAUAUGGUGAUAAGGCACAUCGAUUUGGCAAAGGAGAUCGGAGGGGCCAAAGAGAACAGCAUCGGCACAGCUAGGGCUGGACCAAUGAAAAGACCAAGCUGAGGACCUACAACUACCUCAAAGGUUUGCAACUACCUUCAGGCCCAGCAGGCUGAGGAUGCUGAUACUGAGAAGCAACAGAAGGUGCAUGACUACAUUUGGUAUGAGGUGGCUGGAGAGUGGCUUUUCUGUUCAGUGAAAUCCAGUCUGGAAGCAUUUUUGCUGCCCACUCUGACAGUGAGUGUGAAGAGGAUAACAUGCCACACAUGAUUGGGUACAGAGGGUGGCGAAGGGUGGUGUCCCUGUGUAAGCCAAGGCCUGGUGCUGUUGUAUGGUCCUCUGACCCCUUCCAAUGUACAAACUCCCAGUAUCUGCAGUGGAACCAGUAGACAAGAACAUCAGGGGCAAAACUCCAAAGAUGGUUAAGAGCUUUCCCAAGCCUCAGUAAAAUUGACUUGCAGCCCGGGAGGAGAACAGCGGCUGCCAGAGGAGAGACUGCAUAAUGUAACACAAAAAAGCGAUGGAUCCUCCUGCUCUGGGACUGUAAGGCCAGCAGCCAUCAAGGUUCAUAUAAAUUGCAGUUGAUGAUGGGGGACUUCUCCAGCAUGGUUGCAGAGUGGAUUCCUAUUCAAACUGAUGCAGUGCACGUAGUGUGCAAUGAUGAAUGGUUCACUGGGAGUGGCCGGCCUGUAGCGUAGUGGUUAAGGUAAAUGACUGGGACCCGCAAGGUUGGUUGUUCAAAUCCUGGUGUAGCCACAAUAAGAUCCGCACAGCCGUUGGGCCCUUGAGCAAGGCCCUUAACCCUGCAUUGCUCCAGGGGAAGAUUGUCUCCUGCUAAUCAACUGUAUGUCACUCUGGAUAAGAGCGUCUGCCAAAUGCCAAUGUAAUGAGUGAGAAUUGAUUCUAACCCUUUAAG